UACGUAGGUGGCAAGCGUUGUCCGGAAUUAUUGGGCGUAAAGCGUGCGUAGGCGGUUCGCUGUGUCCGAUGUGAAAGCCCCGGGCUUAACCUGGGAAUGGCAUUGGAAACUGGCGGGCUUGAGUGCGGCAGAGGGGGGUGGAAUUCCGCGUGUAGCAGUGAAAUGCGUAGAGAUGCGGAGGAACACCGAUGGCGAAGGCAGCCCCCUGGGUCGACACUGACGCUCAGGCACGAAAGCGUGGGGAGCAAACAGG
rnacentral:rRNA from 1 species